AUAUAUACAGAUAAAAUUUGCCUAUUCAAUUCUUCGGCAUCUAGAUAUUAUAUAGAUGCACCGAUUCCUGAAAUACAAAAUUAUCGAACAAGGUUAAGAUAUAUAGCAUGUUAUCUUAUACAUUGAGAAAAUAGAGUUUAUAUAUAUUAAAACUUAUAAAUCAAUUUUAUGAUAUACAGGCUCAAUAGAGCGAUAGCUG
rnacentral:lncRNA from 1 species